UCGAGCGAACAGAUAAGGAGCUUGCUCCUUUGACGUUAGCGGCGGACGGGUGAGUAACACGUGGGUAACCUACCUAUAAGACUGGAAUAACUCCGGGAAACCGGGGCUAAUGCCGGAUAACAUUUAGAACCGCAUGGUUCUAAAGUGAAAGAUGGUUUUGCUAUCACUUAUAGAUGGACCCGCGCCGUAUUAGCUAGUUGGUAAGGUAAUGGCUUACCAAGGCAACGAUACGUAGCCGACCUGAGAGGGUGAUCGGCCACACUGGAACUGAGACACGGUCCAGACUCCUACGGGAGGCAGCAGUAGGGAAUCUUCCGCAAUGGGCGAAAGCCUGACGGAGCAACGCCGCGUGAGUGAUGAAGGGUUUCGGCUCGUAAAACUCUGUUAUUAGGGAAGAACAAACGUGUAAGUAACUGUGCACGUCUUGACGGUACCUAAUCAGAAAGCCACGGCUAACUACGUGCCAGCAGCCGCGGUAAUACGUAUGUGGCAAGCGUUAUCCGGAAUUAUUGGGCGUACAGCGCGCGUAGGCGGUUUCUUAUCUCUGAUGUGAAAGCCCACGGCUCACCCGUGGAGGGUCAUUGGAAACUGGGAGACUUGAGUGCAC
rnacentral:rRNA from 1 species